rnacentral:rRNA from 1 species
UACGUAGGUGGCAAGCGUUGUCCGGAUUUACUGGGCGUAAAGAGCGCGCAGGCGGUCGUGCAAGUCGCGUGUGAAAGCCCCCGGCUCAACUGGGGAGGGUCACGCGAUACUGCUCGACUCGAAGGCAGGAGAGGGAAGUGGAAUUCCAGGUGUAGCGGUGAAAUGCGUAGAUAUCUGGAGGAACACCGGUGGCGAAGGCGACAUCCUGGACCGGUAUUGACGCUGAGGCGCGAAAGCCAGGGGAGCAAACGGG